GUGAGGCCGCAGGGCCGACUGCUGCUCCGAUGACUUAAUAGAAGAGAUUUUCUUACGAGUUCAAAGAUUCAGGAUGGAAAGAACAAUUCAUAAAGUGUUAGCUCAGAGCAAGUUUGGAGAUAAUGUGCUUACACCAAAUUAAUCGGACGGAGCGUCGCUUGCACUCUCCCGCUGGGGAUGAGCACGCCACGGUGCAGCAACAUUCAGAGCUGCUACUGCCUCACGGCUCCAGGGGCUCGAGUUCGAUCCUGAGCUCGGGCGCUGCCCAUGUGGAGUUUGCACGUUUUCCCUGUGAUCGCCUGGGUUCCCUCCCGGAUGACAACAGAUGUGCCGAGUUGGUCGGAUUGUAGCAUCCCGAACUGGGAAAGUGGCGACAACCAGGCAAAUCACAAAGCAGCCCGUGCCAUUCAGUACUUCAGACAGCAGACACUCAGCGAGCGCUGGGAUCCUUCUGUGCAGCCUACAGACAAGCUGCCCCAAGAACACAAAGCGCCCAGGACAUACUCUCAGCCCUUCGGUCUGCAAUCCACCGACCUGUGCAUACAAUUGU